UCAAACCUGUAUCCUCAUGGAUGCUAGUCAGGUUCCUGACUGCUGAGCCACAGUGGGAGCUCCCACGUGUUCUUUUUCUUUCUCUUUUGCUGAAUGAUUUCUGGAAGCAAUGAUAGUAUUUUGGUUUGUACAAUCAAAACUUAAUAGAUAUUUUCUUACAUUUAAAAAGUUAACAGCCAUUCAUUUGAAUUAUCUCGUGUCCAGUUCACAUUCAGAUCUGCUGUGAGUGUUGGGAAAAGCACAAAGUGCCUGCCUUUCUUGCUCUCCCAGGUUUAGAGGCGUUAAUGUCUUUGGGGUUAAGCGAUCUCCUUCUUCGGCUUCCCUUGGACUGAGCUUGCACGUGGGAAUUAGGACAAAAUCUACACAGGACCCAACAAGAGAGGCUGUCAUCACCCCUGGAGCAGCGCGUCCCUGUUGCCCGCAUCCUCUCCAGCAUUUGGCGGCGUCUGUGCUCUGGACUGCAGCCCUUCUAGAAGAUCAUCAUCUGAGGAGAGUGAGCAGGAGAAAUUCAGGCUCAGUCAAGAAAUAAAUAAACAACACAAAGAAUGACAAGAGUAGACACAACUUUAACGAAGAGAAAUUUAAAGUAAAUACCACACACUGAUACUGAUUUACACGGUACCAAAAAUUGGAAAACAGAGACUAAACAGACUAUUAUCCAGAAAAACACCUUAACCAAAAUUGUCUCAGGAAAAUCUGUUUUAUGGAGCAAACCGUAAUUUGAAAAGAUACAUGUA